rnacentral:lncRNA from 1 species
GUCGAGUACAAGUUGCAAUUUUGUACAGGUUAUAACAUGUACAAAAAUAUUGUACAUGUUAUAAUUUGUACAAUGCUAAAAUUUACAGCAUGUAUAAAAUACUAGAUUUUCAUACAUUUUAGAAACAAGUUUUUUUUUAAUUCUUGCUACAAAACAGAGACAUUUGACACUUUGAAUUAUAUAAAACUUUCAUUUUUCUACAUUUACACCUCCCAGUCUAUCAGUACAGCUGCCUUUCUCACAUACACCUUAUCGCUAAUCCUGGCUGACCCGGCCGCUUGAACUUUUGACGCAUACAACAAUCACUUUUCCAUUGUUGCAUCAGAUAUUUUGUUUUGUGCAUUCAAAAAUUUACGGGAACCUGUGUGAUAUCCAGUAUUGGCGGACAAAUAGCGAUAAGGUGUAUUGACGAUGCACAAAAUCUUGCCCUCUACUCAAUGAUAACUUACUCAUUAUCUCAUAUAUUGCUCUCACAAUCAUAUCACUCAUUGACACUUCAAACACAUUUAAAGUUGCAUUUGCAAAAAAAUGAACAUGGUUUCUACUCAAGUAUCCUUUUUUUUGGUCCAACUUUAGUUCCAAGUUUAGAGCCGCCAUGUUCAUUCACAUUCAUCACCACGCCUUCAAUGUUUCUCUCAUCGACAGGGCCCCUAUCAAUGGACGGAAUAGGAAUGACAACUUUAUCAUCUUCGGAGAGAACAGUUAAAAUGUUUUUUUGUCGAAGAAUCAGCUUGUAUCUGCUGGCCAGAAAGGGCCCUCUUUCGUGCAUACUUGAUGUCAAGUUCUAAGACAGUCUCGGUAAAUGGGUCUUCACUAUCUGUAUUAUUGAAUACAGAACUUGCUUCAAAUAUUGCUUUUAAGUCUUCUUCUGUUUGAAUACCAGAUGAGAAUACCGCAUAAUGCUUAUUGACUACAUGUGUAUUUCAAAAGCAUUUUUUUUAGGUAUUAACCCUUACCAUGCGGUGCCCGUCUUUUGACGGGCGGACCCUAAUAACCGUUAUUUGGCUCCAAUGGCGUUCCAUACUUUUAGAAGUCCACUUUAUGAGACUUAUUUUGAAAGUUAUGUGUGUCCCGUCAACCUGAGGCUAUCCAUAUUCACGUUUCUCAUGUAUAAGUAGCAUUUUGAGCACAAAUACGGACUUGGAAAAUUGAAAUUGCCUAAAACUCGGUUUUCUGGAGGGGUAGGCUUCACAUCUGUAUCUUACACAAGAAGUUCAGAGGCAUAAAACUGGCAAAGAUAGUGCAAACUCACGGCCAUAUAACUACUGAUCAUUAUUAUUAUUGAAAUACGCAUAGGAAACAACUACUUCCGGUUUUGGGUCCAUUCGAAGUCCAAAAUCGGUAAAAAUCGUGAAAUUCGGUAUUUUGGGUCCAAAUGACCUUCUGUAGACUGAUGAAUCAAGAUCAGAUUCACUCCGAUCUAACAACUGUUGGGGUCAAUUUGUUCACUAGGGUCCACUCUACACGCAGGCUACAGCUGGAUACCUUAACCAGCAACCCUGGGUCUUCUGGGUCAAGAGAAGGGGUGAAAAAUCGGCAAAAUUGACGCUUUUUGCAUCUAAUGACCCUCUUUGGGGCAAAUUCCCGCCAAAAAAAUUCCGCCUCCUCACCCCGACCACCCCACCCCGUGAUCACCUAUAUUAGAUUUAAAGAAUUCAAUAUGCUACAGCAACAGGGCUAAGCUCAUUUGCAUAUGAUUUGCAUAUUUUUGCAAAUAAACGAAAAUUAGACAUUUUCUAAAAACAAUUCCGCAUGGUAAGGGUUAAGGACCUUGGAAAAAGAAACCAAUUUUUUUCCAGUUUUAGCUCAAACUUUGAUGUUUUUUCUUCUUAUAAUGGGUCAGAACGGGUCAGUAAGGCCUCCAGAUACAAUGAUUAGUUCAAAAACGCUUAAAAAAAUAUAUUUUUUUUUAAAGUUUGUUAACCCUUACCAUGCGGUGCCCGUCUUUUGACGGGCGGACCCUAAUAACCGUUAUUUGGCUCCAAUGGCGUUCCAUACUUUUAGAAGUCCACUUUAUGAGACUUAUUUUGAAAGUUAUGUGUGUCCCGUCAACCUGAGGCUAUCCAUAUUCACGUUUCUCAUGUAUAAGUAGCAUUUUGAGCACAAAUACGGACUUGGAAAAUUGAAAUUGCCUAAAACUCGGUUUUCUGGAGGGGUAGGCUUCACAUCUGUAUCUUACACAAGAAGUUCAGAGGCAUAAAACUGGCAAAGAUAGUGCAAACUCACGGCCAUAUAACUACUGAUCAUUAUUAUUAUUGAAAUACGCAUAGGAAACAACUACUUCCGGUUUUGGGUCCAUUCGAAGUCCAAAAUCGGUAAAAAUCGUGAAAUUCGGUAUUUUGGGUCCAAAUGACCUUCUGUAGACUGAUGAAUCAAGAUCAGAUUCACUCCGAUCUAACAACUGUUGGGGUCAAUUUGUUCACUAGGGUCCACUCUACACGCAGGCUACAGCUGGAUACCUUAACCAGCAACCCUGGGUCUUCUGGGUCAAGAGAAGGGGUGAAAAAUCGGCAAAAUUGACGCUUUUUGCAUCUAAUGACCCUCUUUGGGGCAAAUUCCCGCCAAAAAAAUUCCGCCUCCUCACCCCGACCACCCCACCCCGUGAUCACCUAUAUUAGAUUUAAAGAAUUCAAUAUGCUACAGCAACAGGGCUAAGCUCAUUUGCAUAUGAUUUGCAUAUUUUUGCAAAUAAACGAAAAUUAGACAUUUUCUAAAAACAAUUCCGCAUGGUAAGGGUUAAGUAAUUAUAAAAACUAUUUAUUUGGUCAUUAACUGUGUCAAAAAUGUAUCAAACUAACAGAAAUG